UCAAGCUCCAUCCAGUCGUCAGACUCUGGAGUAUUGCUGCACAGCUGAGAAUGAGCUGGGAAGGAGUUCAGCAAACAUCUUUAUUACUGUGACAUACGCUCCAAAGCCUCCCUCUGUCAGUGAGUCCACUCCCUCUGGUGAGAUCAUGGAGGGCAGCUCGGUGACUCUGACCUGCAGCAGUGAUGCUAACCCAGCAGCUAAUUACACCUGGUACAAGGAGAACCGAACUCUGCUUCAAGGACCAGAGGGCGUUUAUCGUCUCUCCUCCAUCAGCUCUGGGGACAGGGGGGUCUACUCCUGCAAGUCUGAGAAUCAGUUCGGACGGAUCAACUCCACGUCUCUACACUUAGACGUCCAGUACGCUCCAAAGCCUCCCUCUGUGUCAGUGAGUCCCUCUGGUGAGAUCAUG